rnacentral:rRNA from 1 species
GAUUGAUACUAAGCCAUGCGAGUCUUUGUAGUAAUACAAGGCAGACGGCUCAGUAACACGUAGUCAACCUACCCUAUGGACAAGAAUAAUCUCGGGAAACUGGGCAUAAUUCUUGAUAGAUCAUAAUGCCUGGAAUGGUUUAUGGUUAAAAUGAUUCGUCGCCAUAGGAUGGGACUGCGGCCUAUCAGCUUGUUGGUGAGGUAAUGGCCCACCAAGGCGAUUACAGGUACGGGCUCUGAGAGGAGAAGCCCGGAGAUGGGUACUGAGACACGGACCCAGGCCCUAUGGGGCGCAGCAGGCGAGAAAACUUUGCAAUGUGCGAAAGCACGACAAGGUUAAUCCGAGUGAUUUCUGCUAAAGAAAUCUUUUGCCAGUCAUAAAACCACUGGUGAAUAAGGGGUGGGCAAGUUCUGGUGUCAGCCGCCGCGGUAAAACCAGCACCUCAAGUGGUCAGGAUGAUUAUUGGGCCUAAAGCAUCCGUAGCCGGCUUUGUUAGUUUUCGGUUAAAUCCAUGUGCUCAACGUAUGGGCUGCCGAAAAUACUGCAUAGCUAGGGAGUGGGAGAGGUAGACGGUACUCAGUAGGAAGGGGUAAAAUCCUUUGAUCUAUUGAUGACCACCUGUGGCGAAGGCGGUCUACCAGAACACGUUCGACGGUGAGGGAUGAAAGCUGGGGGAGCAAACCGGAUUAGAUACCCGGGUAGUCCCAGCUGUAAACGAUGCAGACUCGAUGAUGCAUUGGCAUAAUAGCCAGUGCAGUGUCGCAGGGAAGCCGUUAAGUCUGCCGCCUGGGAAGUACGUACGCAAGUAUGAAACUUAAAGGA